ACUGAGUGAAGUGAAGAAACUGGCUCCAAAAGAUGUGAAGAUCAGGAUAUCUGCACCCCAGGAGAGACUGUAUUCCACAUGGAUUGGAGGCUCUAUCCUUGCCUCCCUGGAUACCUUUAAGAAGAUGUGGGUCUCCAAGAAGGAAUAUGAAGAAGAUGGUGCCCGAUCCAUCCACAGGAAAACCUUCUAAUGUUGCGACAUCACCACCUCUCUCUGAAGUUAACUCCACUUUAAAACUUUCUUGAGCUGGAGUGUUUGAGAGGAACUGCCUGUGUGUAUGAGUGAGUGUGUGGGUAUGGUAUGAGUGUGUACUACUAUGGAGUGCCGUGUGGCCCAGAAAUCCUGGGCCCAGAGAGGACAUUGAACUACCCACGAGGGGGAUGGCCUGAGGCCUGGGGUUGACUACUCACUGGCCCCUUGCAGGAAGAGCUCUGGCAGAGGCCCCUGCCAGAUGUAAAGCGAAGCUGGUGUGUGUGGAAUCGAUGUGGCAGCCCGUGGACUGCAGUGCGCUUAGCCAGCUCACCUCUCUCAGCCCAAGCCUGUCCCCUGCACAGCCUCGCAAAGCCACAUUGCCUGGUGGGGCCCAGUGUACUUAAAUAA
rnacentral:lncRNA from 1 species